rnacentral:lncRNA from 1 species
CUAAUUAUAUUUAAAAGUAGAAAGCUAAACCACAAAAAGAAGAAAGGGAAAAAAUAGAAUAAAGAUAAAAAAGGGAAGCCUUACCAAGAAUGAAAGAAGAAAAGGAUCAUCAAGGCUUGUUACAAUGAUAUGCAUUAAGCAGAAGAAUGUUGUCCCCAGUUACUGUAAUCUUCUUAAUUAAUCCAACCAACUAAAAAUUAUCAAUGAAACUUAAUUUGGUAAACAUUGUAUCAACCAGAAUGCUUAAUUAAGUUAUAGUUCAAGUGUCGAGCAUGUCCAUUGAUAUUGAUUCUCCCUUACACUAUUUCCUUGUUCUGCUCCAUUUGUGGUUCCUAUAGGAGAUGGGUCACUUAUUCUGCUUCUGCAAGAUAUAUUCGCCCAACUGGCUGAACCCCACCACUUUUUCCUCCUGUUUAUAAGGAGCUCCAUUGAUAACAUGUCCAUACAUCCCUCGACUUCAAGUCAUCUUCCUUGACUAAGAGUAAUCCUCCCGUUCCGCUUCUUUCCAGGAUUCAUCCGGUCACCCUUCCAUUGACACAUUGGUUUUGUCUCAAUUUGUGCCGGACUCCCCUGCUCUGUCAAACAGAACUUGACCAUUGUCAUCCUUCAGAGCCUAUUGCACCAUACAUUAUCAACUUUGAUUCUAGAAAAAUAUAUUACAACUUUGGUAUUUAUCAAUGGCAUCCAAUACUCUCUCUUCUUCACGUAGUUCAAGCUCCUUCUGGACUCCCAAGCAAAACAAACUAUUUGAAAAGGCCCUUGCUAAAUAUGAUAAGGAUACCCCUGAUCGCUGGCACAAUAUUGCCAGGGCAGUGGGUGGAAAAUCUGCAGAGGAAGUGAAAAGGCACUACGAAAUUCUAAUAGAGGACGUUAAGCAUAUUGAGUCCGGUACUGUUCCAUUCCCCAACUACAGAUGAAGGUGAAAUAAUCGCCACGCCAGUUUGCAAUCUGACCAAAAGGUAAUAAUAUAGUUAGUUUCUACCUAGUACCUAGAUACAUUCAUGUUUAUUACCAUUAUCUUUCGUGUCGCUCUAAUCCAUCCAAAAUUUCUGUGCACUAACAUUCUGCAAAAAUGGUCUUGAGUAUAAUAAAUAAGAUCCAAAUGUCUGCUUGUGACAUCAGUUUAGAAAGACAUACUUGUCAUGGGGCCAUAAGAUAAAUUUAGUGGGCACUCAAAAGUUUAAAAAGUGCUAGCAUAUUGUGGACCAUUCUCAAUUAACAAUCAAGCCAAAGUUCCCUUCACCAUAUUGCUUAUCAUUUUCUUUUAAAGGCAGGGCCAGGCCACACUUCAUUCAACACCUUAUCCUGUCUAUAAGCACAAACAAGUCCCUCGUGAGAUCUAAUCUACCCUUUGUGGUUCAUAACAUGCCAAUAGUCCUCUGCAUUCUUAACUCUAGUUCAGACAGUUCCUUUGUGAUAUACAAACUAGCUUCUCCUUUACAAUUUUAUAGUGGAUAUCCUGACAAACCACUGGUAACCCGAUAUUUUAUUCUCUCUUACUUUUAACCUAAAAGAUAAUGUACUCUCUCUCAUUUCUCUACACACUUUUAAUUAUUUAUAAUAGAUCUUUUGUCUUGAGUUGGAGUUGUGGUGCUCCAUGCUAUAUACACUUUUGGCCUGGCGGCAUAUUGCUGAAGAUCUCUAACUUUUUAAAUGUCCCGGCUUUUACUUUGAAUAAUAAUUUGCUAAGAACUGAAAACCUUUUUUUCAUUUUUUUUUUUUUGGCUUCUCUUCUUCAGCUCUCUAUGUAACAGGUUUACCAUUUACGGAGUACUAAAAGCUACAGUAUGGAAGUUGAUGCUUCUAGUUCUCUCCCACUACCUCCGUCUCUCUAAACUUCCCUAAAAAUGUGCAAUAUCUCUAUUUAUUUGUAAUGCACUUCAGACCUACUAUAUGAAGACAAGAAUAUGUAAUGAUCUUACCCCUAUUAAUGGCAUUAUUGCUGUAUCAAUAUGACUUAUUGUAUCGCGAGUACGAUUGAAAUCUUCUUAAUUAAGCAAAAUAUUUUUGAAGAAAGGCAGUUUGUCAUCACAAUUGGGAACAACAAAGAAUGCCUUAAAAUUAAACUAAUGAUAUAACAAUAAUACAUACCAUCUUCAUCCCCAUUAAUUUGAUCAAAUGUUCAAGUAUAUAACCGAAAUGAAUUUGAAGAAUAUGGAAAAAGGAUGAACUGAAUUUGGAAAUACAAUACAAUGAUAUUAACAAACUUUGAGUUAGGGUUUUGAUGGCUUACCUGAAAUACUGAUAUUUAAUACUCCUUUUGUUUCCAAGAUAGCCGGUAAAGAUUAUAUAUAGCCGAUGUGAUUAUUGAUAAAUUAACCUCCAUUGCAAUUCAUGGUGUAAAUCGAGAUUGGAGAAGCAUUCUGUUUGUAGUGGCGGGAAAAAUUGUACUUCUUGUCAUCGGGUAUGGCGGGCGUAUAGGAGGAGGAAACCUUAGGUCAACUGUCUCCAUGAGUACGUCU